UACCUCAUUGUAGUUUUGACUUUCAUUUCUCGGUUAGUGAUAUUGAGCAUCUUUUCAUGUGCCUACUGGCCAUCGAUAUGUCUUCUUUGGAGAAAUGUCUAUUUAGAUCUGCCCAUUUUUCAGUAGGGUUGUUUGGGGUUUUUUUGGUUUUGUUUGUUUGUUUGUUUGUUUGUUUGUUUGCAUUGUAAGAGUUGUUUAUACAUUUUGAAGAUUAAGCCCUUCCUGACUGAGUUGUUUACAAAUAGUUUCUCCCCUUCUCUAGGUUGUCUUUUCAUUGUGUUUGUUUUUUAUGGUUUCCUUUGCUGUGCAGAGGCUUGUAAAUUUGAUUAGGUCCCAUUUGCUUAUUUUUGUUUUUAUUUUUAUCACCUUGGGAGACUGACCUAAGGAAACAUUUGUACCAUUUAUGUCAGAGAAUGUUUUGCCUAUGUUCUCUUCUAGGAGUUUUACGGUGUCUUGUGUCUUAUGUUUAAGUCUUUAAGCCAUUUUGAGUUCAUUUUUGCGCAUGGUGUGAGGGUGUGUUCUAGUUUCAUUGAUUUACACGCAGCUGUCCAAUUUUCCCAGCACCAUUUGCUGAAGAGACUCUUUCCAUUUUAUAUUCAUGCCUCCUUUGUCAAAGAUUAAUUGACCGUAGGUGACUUCCUGAUAUGAUUACCAAAUGCAAUGGACAACAAAUCUCUCUACUGGGUAUGAAGAUGCCAUUGACGGGUUAACAUGAAAGCUGGAUUCCAAAUGAUAGAUAGGACUUUAUGAAGGGUAGGUGGGCAGAGGAGAGUGUUAUUUAAAGGGAAUAGUAUCUACCAAGACAAAGAGAAUGUAGAAAAGCUGUUCGGACAAUGUCAAGGGUCCUGAUGGGUAAGAGGGUAAGAGUUGAAGCCUGAAAAGUAGGCUGAGGCUAAUGAUAAAGGACUGAAACACAUGCUGAGACUUGAACUCUCCCCACGACAUUGUGAUUAACCACCUCCUAUUUUUUUGAACAGGAGGCAGACAUGUUCGAAUUUGUAUGUCAAAUUUGAAAUGAUAGUGGUAGGGCUUGAUGGAGGAUCCAGGCACCUGGAGGCUGGAUGAGCUCAUGAGGGUCUCAACAGUGAGAAUUUCAGCCCAGAUGUGCUGUCUGAACACCUCACCCCUCUCCUAUCCACUUUCCCACACC
rnacentral:lncRNA from 1 species